CCUACGGGUGACAGCAGUGAGGAAUAUUGGGCAAUGGACGAGAGUCUGAACCAGCCAAGUAGCGUGAAGGAUGACUGCCCUAUGGGUUGUAAACUUCUUUUAUAUGGGAAUAAAAUGUUCCACGUGUGGGAUUUUGUAUGUACCAUAUGAAUAAGGAUCGGCUAACUCCGUGCCAGCAGCCGCGGUAAUACGGAGGAUCCGGGCGUUAUCCGGAUUUAUUGGGUUUAAAGGGAGCGUAGGUGGAUUGUUAAGUCAGUUGUGAAAGUUUGCGGCUCAACCGUAAAAUUGCAGUUGAAACUGGCAGUCUUGAGUACAGUAGAGGUGGGCGGAAUUCGUGGUGUAGCGGUGAAAUGCUUAGAUAUCACGAAGAACUCCGAUUGCGAAGGCAGUUCACUGGACUGCAACUGACACUGAGGCUCGAAAGUGUGGGUAUCAAACAGGAUUAGAUACCCGAGUAGUC
rnacentral:rRNA from 1 species